UGAACUCCUCCUACACUGUUUAUCUCCUGGG
rnacentral:piRNA from 1 species